CUAUAAAAAGGUUAACCUAAAAUGUCAAUUCAGACUAGUACUAUUUAGUUAAUUUUAUUUUUGUUAAGAAUGUAACAUCAUAAAUUAAAAUAAAAUACAUAUUUAUUAUAUUCGAACCAUCCUCUUAUGAUUAUGAUAUUCACGUGAAAUAUAGAAUAAAAUGUAAGGCUCGAGUCUACGAAAAACAAAGCGGUAAAAAUUAAAUGGAAGUUGGUAUUUCUUCACAAGUGACAACCCUUAUAGCAUCAAAUGUCGGAUUACUACUGGAACAACUAGCCUAUCUCAGCUUCAGAACGUUCAUUUAUUUAAUUCAAUUAUUGGGAAACAUACUAAUAACGUUUUCCUCUAUUUUGGCAAUACCGGUGCAGUUUCUUUUACUGCCAGUAAAAUUUGUCCUUCUAAUUAUGAGUCUCCCAGCUCGAUUAUCUUUAUUUUUUAUCAAGGCAACAGUAAUAUUUCUUUUAGUAUUGUUUUCCCCUGACUUUUUAUAUAAUACUUUAAACUAUUUACAAUAUAGGGUUUCCUCAAAUUAUGUAAAUGUAUAGUUUGAUCCAUUAAACUAGUAAAAAAUG